rnacentral:rRNA from 1 species
UACAGAGGUCCCAAGCGUUGUUCGGAUUCACUGGGCGUAAAGGGUGCGUAGGCGGUCGGGUAAGUCUGAUGUGAAAUCUCACAGCUUAACUGUGAAACUGCAUUGGAUACUAUCCGGCUCGAGGAAUGGAGGGGGGACUGGAAUACUUGGUGUAGCAGUGAAAUGCGUAGAUAUCAAGUGGAACACCAGUGGCGAAGGCGAGUCUCUGGACAUUUCCUGACGCUGAGGCACGAAAGCCAGGGGAGCAAACGGG